AUUGUAACACCCGCUUGGUUGAGGUCGAAGAAUUGACAGAGCGAAUCGGAACAAGCGCGACCAUCUCUCAAACCCUAGACCUACCCUUCCCUACCCCAUCACUGUAACAUGGAGCUCGGUCCUCUCCCUCAUUCGACGUAUUGUUCUUCAUUCUUCGUCUUCUUCAUCAACAGAAUCCCAAACCUUAACCCUAAUCCGAAGAUGUAGAAGACGAAGAAUCUGCUGGCGAAUUCGUUCAUCGUCGAAUCUGAUGGCCGAUUCGUUCGUCGUCGAAUCUGCUCGCCGAUUCGUUCGUCGUCGAAUCUGCUCGCCGAUUCGUUCGUCGUCGAAUCUGCUCGCCGAUUCGUUCGUCGUCUUCGCACCAUCGGAUGAGCUUCGGCUCCGAAGAGACCUUGAUUCGUCUCACAUUAGGUUUUGAGCUUCCGCAAGUCUCUUGCUAUCUUACGUGCACUCGUCAGGUUGGCCCUACAUCUUUCUAACCUCAUUACUUGCAUUUAUUUUAGUGCUCUUUGAAUCCACUUUUGAGAUCUAGUUGCAUUUCAUUUUAGCGAUCUUUCUAUUUUUACUGUGCGUUUGGAUUUUUCUUUUUUUAUUUCUUGGGAUUUGCAUUUUGGAUGCAAAUCAUAUGCCAAUACAAUACGUUGAGAGACUUUAAAGAUAGUUGUUGCCUGAAUUUAAGCAGCACGCCAUUUGUAGGUGGUUGUUGAACAUCUUCUGUUGGAAUUGAAAAUUAAGGCGAUGUAGGUUUGUCUAUUAUGAGCUGAAUUGCUUUCUAUGUAUGCCUAUCUUUAUGGCAACAGCUUAGAAACUGAAAUUUCAGGUUGAUCCUUUCCCAUUUCUGGUUAGGAAGGAACUAAAGCUCAGCGACAUUAAUUCCUAGGUUAUGCAUACCAGCAAUAAAACUCAGAUGCACCAAAUUUAUUGUGUGCAUCAAUUAGUCUUGUUACUUUAGUUCCCUCUAGUUCUUAAGCUGGUAGCAAUUUGAGUAAAUCACACAGAGCAUACGUGGAGUUUCUAGUAUGGUUGUCACAAAAAAAGGUGAAAAUCUUGCCUUUGGGGUUACCUUUUUUCAACUUAUGUUAGCCACUAUUGAUGCUAUAGAAACCUUUAGAACCUAUGCUGCAGGUUUGUUAAAUUGUUAUAAAACUUAAUUAUUUAUAGGGUUUGAUGACUUUGGGUUUUAUUUAUUUUUAGAAUUUAUUGUUUGUUGUUCUUUUUCCUUCCUGAUGUUUUGUGUAUUUUUCCGUUGUCACAUAAUUUUGUCGUGCUGCUAUACAUGUAUUAUUUGUUAUCUGUACUUUCCGUCUGUUACAUCUUCACAGCAUACAGUAAAUUACACACACAUGUAGAGAUGCACUGACCAAACCAUGUAGAAGAUUCAUGUUUCCAAUAACAGUUACUAGGUUGGAUAUGAUUUUAGGGCAAAUUAGAGUUCCGUUGAUGGAAGUUCAUUGCUUGUGUUUCUUUAGAUGGAGUUGACAAUACGAAGUAAAAUGCUAUUUCAAUGUUUUAACUGGAUUAUUGCAAAUGUAAACUUUCUGUUUUUCUUCUCUUUUCUUUUUCUCCUAUGGGAAUUGGAUAAAUAUAGGUAGCUAGCUACACAGAAUAAAAGGUUUGCGUUUCUCGGAUUAUGAGUUAGGCAACCUCGAAAUAGAAGGGUUGUUUAAUCAUUUGCAUCCAGAAAUUUCCAUCCUAAUAAUGGUGUAUAGAAGUUCUAAUUAUAUGUUUAAUUAGAAACCCUGUGAAAACAUAAUAAACGUGGAUAGUGGAUAUGCCCUAUAUGUUUCGUUUUUGUAACUUUAAGGUUUAGGACUGCAGUUUAUAUUUGCUUCUGGUUUCUUGAAUCUCUCUCGCCUUCAGAAUUGGAUUUUUUUGGCCCAUAAAUCUACUUACAGGAGACCAAGUUGUCACCAGGCAUAAAAAGACGAAUAACGAACCAUACUAAUCAAUGUUCUGCAGUGAUCGAUCACCCCCCAAAAAAAUAAAAAAUAAAAAUAAAAAAGGAAGGAAUGGGCCAAGGGGAAUUGAAAGUGAGGACACGCGGCCAAGUCCAGGGUCGAGGCAAUUAAGCAAACCAGUCCAGUCCACUAACUCUAUAAAUUCUAAAUUAUAAUACAAAAGGAAACGACAUCGUAUGAAGAAGAAAACCUUCUUAUCUUAAAAGGCGCCUGAUCUCGCAAAUGAUAAAACCUUAACCCUCGGGCCCUCAGAGUCCCAAACGCGAGUGAGAGCAGAUCUGAGAAAAUGAGAGAUGUGAAACACAGAGAAGGUCUGGAAACCCUAACAAUGGCAUUGUCUCUGUGAUCGGAGCCUUCGCUGUAGAUCAGAGACAUGAGCGUGAAGAAAGAGAGAGACGACGAGGCAUGAAGAAAAGCUCCUCCAAUGCGAUUCUUGUUUUGCGAGAUUUAACGCCUCGAUGACCGCCAUUGAUCCACGAUCGGAUCCGUUCAAGAGCUCACCGUUGAAAUCGCGUAGUAAUUAACACCAAGACCAGAGAUCUGAUGGGGCUAGGUAUGGGAUUUCCAGGACCCGUCAAAGUUGAUUUUGAAAUUUAGGGUUUACUGAGAUCAUUGUUUUUUAUUUGAUAGAGCGACAUGCCUGAGGAAUUAAUUAGUAGGUCGGUCUUUAAUUCAAUGCAUUAAUGCGUUCGCUGUUUGUUUCCAUUCCAGGUACUCCCUGUCUGCUUGCUCAAGAUGCGAUAGGGUGCGAUGUGGACUGAUAGAGGCACUGACAGCGGGCCUUCCAUAUCUUUAAGGUUUUACUCCUUACUCAUUCAAGCAUGUGGAUGUAUGUUUUUCUUUUGUAAAAUUUCAUUUUUUGUUUUUAAAUGGAAACAAAAUGAACAAAAAUAAGUUUCCAGAGGCAAAUAGCAUAGUAUUGUUGAAAACUUGAACGAUAUAUCUGACAAAAACAAAAUUGACACACAUUAUGGGAGCUCUUUGAAAUAGCAUAUUUUUGUUGAAUGAUGUAUUCUGAUAUGAGUGAGUGGGGGACGGUAUCUCACAUAUGGAAUCAGGAACAUUGUGACAUUACAUCAGUGAUACAUGGUGGCGUGGUGAAUUUAGAAAGUAAUCAUUUGUAGCAAUAUCGGAUGGUCUAAUAACCAUGCAUAAUUAGACUGUUCGGCAACUUGAUGUUCUGACCAAAAGAGAACAUCGGAUGAUGGGGUUUCUCUAACUUUCAAUGUAACAUGAGUUGGAAGACAUUAGAACGUGAAAAAUCACAAAUGGGUUAGUGCAUUAUUCAAAUAUUGUCGCACACAAUGUUCUAGUCAAUGUCAGUAAUCUGAGCUUCUGAACUUUUCAAGUUAGGAUGAGAAUGCAAGGAGUCUCAGAAGUUCUCAGUAUUUGCUUUUGCAUCUAUGCACCCAAGCAAUGUUCAUAGGUUAUUACCAUGGAAAUAAAAUUUGAAGCAGUAAAUUUCGUAGAACUAAAAUUUAUCUGCCCACAUUGUCAAAUAUAUACGGAGGAUAGAUUGGCAGUUAUAAAUUUAGAAGUCUAUUCACUCUCUCUCUGUCUCUGGUGUUCUGUUAUAUUUCCUAGUUGUAGUUGGUACAUAUCAAUCUUAAUUUGAUAUAAUUUCUCAUUGAAGUUGUUUAUCAUUCAUAUUUUGUUAUCUAUUGACAAUACCUUUGGAUUGUGUACAAGCUGGAAGAUAUAAAACAUAUAUAAUUUCUGUUUUAAUUGUUUUCCGUGUAUUGGCAGGUAUUCUUUUUGGUAGUAAAAUGGUGUUUAAAAUGAAGUUAUGAAUGUACAAAUGUAGUAAUAGAGUAUUUUAAAAUGUUUCUUCAGGAUGUUGUGUUCUGGUUUGCGAUCUUUAACAUUCAGUGGUUAUCCCACACCAAACGUUCUUCCUAUGAGUUGCAGCAUCUUGCAUUUUAAACAAAAGAACCUGUUGUUCUAUGUAUUUUUUGUUAUUGACAUAACAAACUGUUCUUCCUAUCAUUCCCACUUGUUGCAUUUUAACUUUAAUUUUUUUAUUCUAUGGUUUUUUUAUAUGCUUUUAUAUUACUACCUUUCAAGUUUGUCCACAUUUUAAAGACAUUAUCGUUCCUGAAAUGCCAGCCUUUUAUUUUGUAGGUAAUUUUUGAGGAUUGAUGUUUCUUCUAGAGACAUGCAAUGAAUUUUUUUGUCAGUUAGUUCGUUAGUGCGACUUUCUUAUGUUUGUUGUGUCGUACACUUGCACAUUCAGUAGUUCUGCUGCGGUUCAACUUAUUAUUUUGCACACUGACCAUCUGGUUUAUUUCAGUGUUUAUUCCAAUUGUUAUUAUUUCUGAUGGUUCUAGUUGUUUAAUUUUGUCUCAACUUUUGAGUCUUGAUAUUAUUUUAUUAAUUGUUUAACUGUUUUUUUUUUCCCCCAGGUUCGCCUCAAAUUUCCCUUUUGUUUUUUUGACUAAUUUGAUCUAAUUUCAAUCAAAACAAGUCUGUAUAAUAUCAAUUCUUUUAUUUGAGUGCUGCGGAUUGUAGUUUUUACUUGGAUAUACUUCCGAC
rnacentral:lncRNA from 1 species